AUGGACCAGCAAGUGUUCCUCGGCGUCUCCUGGGGCGAUUUGCUCACCUACCUGAAGCGCAACAGCGGCAUGGAUCCCGAGCUGGUGGUCUACGGCCAUAACCUGGUGCUCUCCUACGUCUACGACUACAUCCCGGACCCUCCCGUCUCCCCCAUCGCCACACUCUCGCUUUCCGGCUUGCCGUGGGUCCCCGACGGCGUCGACCGCAUCAGCUGCCUCCCGGACAAGGUCCUCCGUAACAUCGUCUCCCGGCUCCCCGCCAAGGAAGCCGCGCGCACGGCCUCCCUCGCCUCGCGCUGGCGCCCCAUCUGGCGCUCGGCACCCCUCGUUCUUGUCGACAGCCACCUGCUCCCGGACGGCGCCGUGCGCGGGCAGCUCGUCAUCGGCUCUCCCUCUCCCCGCGCCGUCACCGCCGCGGCGCACCCGGGUCCCUUCCGCUGCGUCCACCUCACCCGCACCACCAUGGAUGAGCACCGGGGCGAGAUGGCGCGCUGGCUCGACAUCCUCGUCGCCAAGGGAGUCCAAGAACUCUUCUUCGUCAACCGGCCUUGGCCGCUAGAUCUGCGCCUCCCCGCGACGCUCUUCAGCUGCGCCUCCCUCACCCGCCUCUAUCUCGGCGUCUGGAGGCUCCCGGACACCACCGCCGUACCGCGUGGCGCCAGAUUCCCCAACCUCCUGGAGCUCGGCCUCUGCUUCAAUGCCAUGGAGGACCGCGAUCUGGCAUUCAUGCUUGAAAGAAGCCCCGUCUUGGAGUUCCUCCUCAUCAUGGGAAGUCAGAGCGGAGUGCGCCUCCGCCUCGUCAGCCAAAGCCUGCGGUGUGUUCAGCUGGGCCUCUUCUCCUUUGACGACCUGGACGUGGUGGAUGCCCCUAGUCUGGAGAGACUUUUUCAGUAUAACACCAACAAUAACAGCCCCACCAAGAACCGCUCUUCCAGGAUCAAGAUUGGCCAAGCACCUAAACUUCGAGUGCUGGGAUACCUUGAGCCAGGAGGGCAGGAAUUGGGGAUUAGCAACACCGUCAUCGUGGCUGGGAUCAAGGAGAGCAUUGUCCCUAGUGUCCAGAUUUUGGCCAUAGAGGUGCAGUUCGGUGUCCGCAAUUCUGUCAAGAAAGUGCCUGGCUUUCUCAGAUGCUUCCCCAACCUGGAGACGCUCCAUGUCCAGUCUCACCGCAUAUCUGAAGAGCCCACCGGAAAGGUCAAUGUCAAGUUCUGGCAGGAGGGCGGUUCCAUCAAAUGCGUCGUGGAGAGCAUGAAGAAGGUGUUCUUGUACGAGUUCCGAGGGUCGAGAAGCGAGGUUACUUUCCUCAAGCUCGUCGCGGAGAGGGCUCGGGUGCUGGAGCAGAUGGUGGUCGUGGUGUCUAGUGGAUCUUUCUCUCCAGUGGAUGAUGUGAGUGCCAAGCUGAAGCCUCUCACCAAUGCAAAAUGGGCCAGUAAAGCUUGCAAACUUGAGCUCUUCAACAGCCCACCUGCUGAAGACGGAAUGGCACCCUUCUGCCGCCGGCUAGCAAAUGAUUUCUCGUUCCCGGACCCUUUUAACGUCAAAGAGUACCAUGAAGAAAGAAUCUCUCUAAGUUAA
rnacentral:rRNA from 1 species